rnacentral:rRNA from 1 species
GUGGGGAAUAUUGGACAAUGGGCGAAAGCCUGAUCCAGCCAUGCCGCGUGUGUGAAGAAGGUCUUCGGAUUGUAAAGCACUUUAAGUUGGGAGGAAGGGCAGUAAGUUAAUACCUUGCUGUUUUGACGUUACCGACAGAAUAAGCACCGGCUAACUUCGUGCCAGCAGCCGCGGUAAUACGAAGGGUGCAAGCGUUAAUCGGAAUUACUGGGCGUAAAGCGCGCGUAGGUGGUUUUGUAAGUUGGAGGUGAAAUCCCCGGGCUCAACCUGGGAACUGCCUCCAAAACUGCAUGACUAGAGUACGGUAGAGGGUAGUGGAAUUUCCUGUGUAGCGGUGAAAUGCGUAGAUAUAGGAAGGAACACCAGUGGCGAAGGCGACUACCUGGACUGAUACUGACACUGAGGUGCGAAAGCGUGGGGAGCAAACAGGAUUAGAACCCGGGUAGUCC